UAAGAUGUAAAAGUGAUAUGUUGUUGU
rnacentral:sRNA from 1 species